rnacentral:rRNA from 1 species
UACAGAGGUCUCAAGCGUUGUUCGGAUUCAUUGGGCGUAAAGGGCGCGUAGGCGGCAAGGCAAGUCGGGUGUGAAAGCUUGGGGCUUAACCCCGAAAGGGCACUCGAAACUGCGUUGCUAGAGGGCCGGAGAGGAGAUCGGAAUUCACGGUGUAGCAGUGAAAUGCGUAGAGCUCGUGAGGAAGACCGGUGGCGAAGGCGGAUCUCUGGACGGCCCCUGACGCUGAGGCGCGUAGGCUAGGGGAGCAAACGGG